rnacentral:rRNA from 1 species
GACGUAGGGGGCCAGCGUUGUUCGGAAUUACUGGGUGUAAAGGGUUCGUAGGCGGUGUGGCAAGUCGGGAGUGAAAUCUCUGGGCUCAACCCAGAGUCUGCUUCCGAAACUGCUGUGCUUGAGUGUGGGAGAGGCGCGUGGAAUUGCAGGUGUAGCGGUGAAAUGCGUAGAUAUCAGGAGGAACACCGGUGGCGAAGGCGGAUCUCUGGGCCGAUACUGACGCUGAGGAGCGAAAGCGUGGGGAGCGAACAGG